GAGGGUAUAGCUCAGUGGUAGAGCACAUGAUUAGCAUUUACAAAGUCCUGGGUUCAAUCCCCAGUACCUCCA
rnacentral:tRNA from 1 species